rnacentral:rRNA from 1 species
GACGUAGGAUGCAAGCGUUGUCCGGAUUUAUUGGGCGUAAAGAGCGUGUAGGCGGCCAGGUAGGUCCGUUGUGAAAACUCGAGGCUCAACCUCGAGACGUCGGCGGAAACCCUCUGGCUAGAGUCCGGAAGAGGAGAGUGGAAUUCCUGGUGUAGCGGUGAAAUGCGCAGAUAUCAGGAAGAACACCCGUGGCGAAGGCGGCUCUCUGGGACGGUACUGACGCUGAGACGCGAAAGCGUGGGGAGCAAACAGG